CUGUGAAUGUUCUGGAGGUCUCUCAUGAAUCCAAUCCAACGACUAACUGAAUGCUUUAGAUAAAUUGGUGAUCCAUGGAUAAGUUUUCUCAAUCAUAUUAGGUUAUCAAUGAUGAGAGCCAUGGAUAAAUUGCGAACUGCUAAUGGCAAUAUCCCAAAUUCAUUAAAGAGGCUUGAAAGCCGAAUGACUCUCAUCACACUACUAGAAACUUAAGUUUCAGCGACGGAGUUAGAGACGGAUAAAUCCUGUAGCAAAAUUUUACAACAGAUGUGCGAUGUUUUAGACAUUUCCUUUAUUUAUUCCACAUUUUUUCAUAGAAGCGAGGGUUUAUCGAGGGAUCAACUACAGAUCUCAUAAGUGUUUAUUGACACACCUCAAUCCCUCGCCAAUCGGUCGAAGAUGAAGGCAUUUCAACGAGGGUUCAGCGACAGAGAGAGAAAGUGCCAAUUUUUUCCAUCUGGUACGUGUUUAGCGAGAUAACGCCGACGGAAAUUUUAUUUGGGGUAUGCGCGUUUUUGUUUUACAAUCGCCGAUCUCUCGCUGAAAUUGGCGCAACACAAUUCUAGUUUCACGAAAUUGUUAUGACGAAACACGUCACCAUUGUUGCCUUCCGAUUCCGGCAACCUCCAUAAAAUCUAAAAUUUGUUUUCAUUAACUUCCGAUUCAGGUAAAUGGAUACAUAUGAGAGGCAUAAAGUUGUGUUUACAUUACUAACUUCCAUAACAUCUAUUGGUACUGCUUGACUGGCUAUACGCUACGCCACCUUCAUGAAUCAAAAGUUGAACAAAGGCUUGACUCAAUCGAAAAUGUUUUUAGUAGUUUCCCUUUCUCAUGCCUGAAACAUAGAUACUAGCAAUAAAGUUGAAACAAUGUUUAGAAUAUAUAAAAUAUAAUAAUUAGAUUGUGUUUAUACACUUUUUUGUAGAUGAAUGUCAUCUUCUAACUUGACAUGUUCCUUCAUCUCUUGAAUGUUUGUUUCUAAUUCAACAGGUUCUGUAGCUCUGUAGCUUUGACUAGCUUUGACCGGUGUUUCUAAGCUUCACUCCACUUGUUUCUCAAGUGUUUCUUCUGAUUUUUUCUUUUCGGCAUCAAGCUUUAAAGGUACAUCUUCAUUAGAUAGAGACACAUAACAAUAACAAAAUACAUCUCUAAAUCACCAAAUAUAGAAACAUCAUACAUUAGCUCCACUAUUUCUUGUGGUAUGAUAUCCAAUUGGAUAUCACUUUCACCAGCUAAACAUAAGAUCUAUGAUAAAUGGACAUCCUGAUGAGAGCCACAAAAGUGAACUAUGAGAAUGAGAUAUUGUUUAUUUAACAAUAACAAUAGCUUUAAGUUGCAUUUCUUUCAAACUUUUAGAAUCAUGGGCUAGAUAUGCUUUAUGUGGUAGCUAUAUGAGCGGUCUGCAGAACUGAGUGCCAAGGUUAAUCAAGUAAUUUUGUCUUACUAAAAUAUCAUAAAUUUAAGAUUUUGUAAGAAGCAGUUAGUUUUUCAGCAUCUUACUUGUUUUCAGGACUUGUGUUCUCAGUUUAUUUGAGGAGAACUAAUGCAUUGCUAUCAAAUCACUUACCACGAAAGAUAGUUGAGGUUUCCAACGUUUUCUUGUGAUCAUUUCCAAGAAUUUCCAUGCUAACUCUGGUGGCAGAGUUCUUUCUGUAGACUACACAGACCUGGUUGGGGAGCUUGCCAAAAAACAUAACCUAAAGCUUCAUAUAGACGAACCUCGUAUCUUUAAUGCAUAUGUUGCUCUUGGUGUCUCUGUUCGUAGGCUUGUACAAGCUGCUGAUUCUGUUUCAGUAUGCUUGUCGAAAGGGCUUGGUGCACCAGUUGGAAGUGUUAUUGUUGGGACAAAGAGCUUCAUUGACAAGGCAAGGAUUUUGCGAAAAAACUUUAGGUGGGGGAAUGAGACAGGUGGGAAUGAGGGAAUCCUAUGUGCUGGUGCUCUUGCAGCUUUAAAAGAAAACGUUGGAAAGCUUGGAAAUGAUCACAAGAAUGCCAAGACUUUAGCUUGGAAAUGAUCACUUUAUUCGUUCAAAAAAUGUGAAACAAGCAAUUGUUGAAGAUGUGAAACAAAUAAAAAUUCUAGCUUAUAUAACUGCCUUGAAGAAGCUCUGCAAUCAUCCAAAGCUGAUUUAUGAUACAAUGAAAAUGUUCUCCAGAAGAUCUGGAUCUUGGACUGGUGGAUGAUGACCUGGUUGAAGUGUCAGGAAAGAUGCAAGUCUUGGCCUGUUUGUUGGCCCAUCUUUGUAAGAGAACAAAUGAUUGAAUUAUAUUGGUUUCAGAUUAUACUCAGGUAUAAAUUACAAGUUCUUUUAUGUAAUUAGGAGUUUAAUAAAAGUGAUUAAAUCUUCAAGUAGCUGUAAUUCUUUAGACACCGGACAAAAGUUGCAGGAUGGGUCCAAAUCAAUCAGCAUAAUACAAAAGUUGGUCAACUGCUUCAAUGAUCCAUCAAAGUUAUUUAAUUUUUAAUAAUUUAAUAAGUACAUACUCAUUUUAUAAAAAAAAUACACAUAAUUAUGUUGCAGGAUGAGUUUGCAUUUCUUUUCAGCAGCAAAGCUGGUGGUUGUGACCUCAACUUGAUAGGUUGAAAUAGACUUGUUCUAUUUGACCUGAUUCGAAUCCUGCAAAUGAGAAACAGGCUAGAGGGAUGGGCAGAAGAAGAGAGUAUACAUCUAUAGGUUUUUGAUAUUAAACAUUGAUAUUUGAUGUUUUGGAUGUUUUGUUAAAAUUUGGUACUUGAUUUUGCUAUUUUAAUAUUAGUGUUUGUUUUGGAUUGUAUAA